rnacentral:lncRNA from 1 species
CCAGUGGCCUUCACCCUGGACUCGGCCUCUUUCUGGAUCCUAGUGGUCUCACCCUGGACUCGGCCUCAGUCCCCACACUGGGUCCCAGUGGCCUUCACCCUGGACUCGGCCUCUUUCUGGAUCCUAGUGGUCUCACCCUGGACUCGGCCUCAGUCCCCACACUGGGUCCCAGUGGCCUUCACCCUGGACUCGGCCUCUUUCUGGAUCCUAGUGGUCUCACCCUGGACUCGGCCUCUUUCUGGAUCCUAGUGGUCUCACCCUGGACUCGGCCUCAGUCCCCACACUGGGUCCCAGUGGCCUUCACCCUGGACUCGGCCUCUGCCUCCACGCCGGGUCCCAGUGGUCUCACCCUGGACUCAGCCUCAUGCUGGGUCCUGGUGGCCUUCACCCUGUACUUGGUCUCUGCCUUGAGGCUGAAUCUUGGGGGGCAAACUCAGACCAUUCUUAAUUUUACCUUUUACUGACGAGAUGAGAAGCAGUUCCACUUUUCAGUUCCUGCCAGUUCUAGAGUUUCUGGCUCCCAACACACCCUCUGCAUUCUGUACAUAAGCAGCCAGCUGUUUUCUGGGUUCCUGUCCCUAGUGGUGCCUUAUCAAGGGCAGUUAGUCAUAAUAAGCGAAUCUGGCAACUUGAGGUGCAUUUUCUGUUAUGUGGCUUGUUGUGGGCAGCUGCUUUUUCCACCAUUACAUAACAGGUCUUAAUUUUUCUAGCCUGAACCAGUUUCCUACCUGUCUGUGGCCUCGUCUGUGGCCAGGGCUUCUCCCUUCAGUUCUUUUAUAGCAGCACCCCCAUCUGCUGGCAGUUUCCAUUUGAGGCAGGGUUUUUGCUAUGAUAAUUCUGCAUAAGAAACAAUCCCCACAUUCCCAUAGCUUUCACCAUCAACUUUUAUUUCUCACGGGGCUGGGGAGGUCGAAGCAGUUCUGCCCCUGCCACAGGUGAGCCCAGCCGGGCCUGCCCCACAGUCUUGUUCUGGGGCCAGCAGGAUCCCAGGAACACUUUGGCCUCGCCAGGUGGUGGAACAAACAGCAAACACAUAUUCAAAGCCCAUGCCUUGAAGUCAGUAUUUUACACAUUUUCUUCAGCUUUUAUCAUUGUUUUAGGCAGAAAGGUCAGAAUGAUAGAAGCUACCCUGCCAUUGCCAGAAGUUGGAAGUGGUGCACAACUUUGAUGAACAGAAAAUUCCUUCAAGUAAUCAAGUCUGACAAUUCUGUAUUCAUUUUACUGUUGUAUCUUUUUCUAAAAUACACACAGGUGUAUCUCUUGCAACUUAUGAUUUUCUUGCAAAAUUUUCUCCAGUGAUUCUUCUUCUAAUGUCUAUUUCAUGUUUUAUUCUAAUAAUUGAGAACUGCAUUAUUGUUGAUAACAAGGUGAUAUUACAGUUUUGUUCCAUCCAGUAAGACACUGGUUUUACUUUUAGAUAUUUUUACCAUGCUGACAUGACAUUUGUCUAUUUCUGCUUUCAAAGAGCUUUUAAAAAUCAGGAAAGGCCAUUGCAAGUAAUGAAAAUAUUUUUACCAUCUCUUGAGAUUAUUUUACAACUAUUAUCUUUUGGAUUAAAAUUGGGCCAUCCUUGAAUUACUAGGAUGAUGCCUACGUGUUCUUGGUGGAUUAUUCUCCUACUAUUCUGCUGAAUUUGCUAAUAUUUUACUUGAAAUUUCCCAGUCUGUAUUCAAAAUGAGAAGAAUCCAUGGUUUUACUUUUUCUUUUUUUAUAUUUGUGAGAUUUCAAUAUGAUGAUCAGAAUAAUGGUAGCUUCAUAAAAUGAAUUAAAUAUCUUUCUGUCUUCUUCUACACUCUGAGAUAAUUAAGGUAGCAUGAAAAUGAUCUAUUCUCUCAAAAAAAUAAUAAAAUUUAUAAAAUGCCAGUGAAGAGGAAUUCUCCAUCCCUCUUUCUCUACCUCCUCUUGUCCUUCCUUCCUUCUAUCUUUCUUCUUUUAAUGACUGUUUUUACUGCUAUGAAUUUAUCUUUUAGUGCAGCUUUGGCCUUUCUCUCCUAAAUUUUGAUAUGUAACAUUCUUGUUUUCUCAAUAGUAUGCACAUGAAACUACAUAUAUAAUCCCCAAUUAUGUGCCUUACAGAGAACAGACCUUCUUUCACAUGUAUUCAUAACAAAUAUAAAAACUUGGCAGGCACCUGUAGUCCCAGCUACUCGGGAGGCCGAGGCAGGAGAAUGGUGUGAACCCAGGAGGUGGAGCUUGCAGUGAGCCGAGAUUGUGCCACUGCACUCCAGCUUGGAUGAUAGGGCAAGACUCCGUCUCAAAAAAAAAAAAAAAAAAAAAAAAAA